AGUCUGCAACUCGACUCCAUGAAGUCGGAAUCGCUAGUAAUCGUAGAUCAGAAUGCUACGGUGAAUACGUUCCCGGGCCUUGUACACACCGCCCGUCACACCAUGGGAGUGGGUUGCAAAAGAAGUAGGUAGCUUAACCUUCGGGAGGGCGCUUACCACUUUGUGAUUCAUGACUGGGGUGAAGUCGUAACAAGGUAACCGUAGGGGAACCUGCGGUUGGAUCACCUCCUUACCU
rnacentral:rRNA from 1 species